ACUGGUCAACUUUUCUUUUGAACCGGCACGGAUCAUCAUCACUGUUUGUGAGGGUUUCUUUAGCUCCCCUCCUUCGUGCACUAGCUCGAUUAUAUGGGCUUCAUGGUGUGCCAGCAAGGGGUUCUGAUUAAUAUUGGGUGCCUCUGGUGUCUGAACCUCUAGUGUCUGAACCUCAAUCUUGUUGGUGUCAAUAAGAUUUUGCACUGCAUGUUUCAACUUCCAACACUUCUUGGUAUCGUGUCCGGGAGCCCC
rnacentral:lncRNA from 1 species